UCCUCCUUAGCUCAGUUGGUUAGAGCAUCUGACUGUUAAUCAGAGGGCCCUUGGUUCGAGUCCAAGAGGAGGAGCAA
rnacentral:tRNA from 2 species